GAUGAACGCUAGCUGCAGGCUUAACACAUGCAAGUCGAGGGGAAAGGCCAUCGAAUGCUUGCUUUUGCUGGGCGUCGACAGGCGCACGUGAGAGUAACGCGAAUCCACUCUGCCCACCACUUGAGGAUAAGCUUGCGAAAGUAAGACUAAUACCCAAUGACGUCUCUAGAAGACAUCUGAAAGAGAUUAAAGAUUUAUCGGUGAUGGAUGGGGAUGCGUCUGAUUAGCUUGUUGGUAAGGUAACGGCCUACCAAGGCAACGAUGCGUAGGGGAUCUGAGAGGGUGGUCGGCCACACUGGAACGGAGAAACGGUCCAGACUCCUACGGGAGGCAGCAGUAGGGAAUCUUCCGCAAAGGGCGAAAGCCUGACGGAGCAACGCCGAGUGAGUGAUGAAGGUCUUCGGAUCGUAAAACUCUGUUAUUAGGGAAGAACAAAUGUGUAAGUAACUAUGCACGUCUUGACGGUACCUAAUCAGAAAGCCACGGCUAACUACGUG
rnacentral:rRNA from 1 species